GGUGGAUUAGUGGCGAACGGGUGAGUAACACGUGGGCAAUCUGCCCUGCACUCUGGGACAAGCCCUGGAAACGGGGUCUAAUACCGGAUACUGAUCGCCUUGGGCAUCCUUGGUGAUCGAAAGCUCCGGCGGUGCAGGAUGAGCCCGCGGCCUAUCAGCUUGUUGGUGAGGUAAUGGCUCACCAAGGCGACGACGGGUAGCCGGCCUGAGAGGGCGACCGGCCACACUGGGACUGAGACACGGCCCAGACUCCUACGGGAGGCAGCAGUGGGGAAUAUUGCACAAUGGGCGAAAGCCUGAUGCAGCGACGCCGCGUGAGGGAUGACGGCCUUCGGGUUGUAAACCUCUUUCAGCAGGGAAGAAGCGAAAGUGACGGUACCUGCAGAAGAAGCGCCGGCUAACUACGUGCCAGCAGCCGCGGUAAUACGUAGGGCGCGAGCGUUGUCCGGAAUUAUUGGGCGUAAAGAGCUCGUAGGCGGCUUGUCGCGUCGGUUGUGAAAGCCCGGGGCUUAACCCCGGGUCUGCAGUCGAUACGGGCAGGCUAGAGUUCGGUAGGGGAGAUCGGAAUUCCUGGUGUAGCGGUGAAAUGCGCAGAUAUCAGGAGGAACACCGGUGGCGAAGGCGGAUCUCUGGGCCGAUACUGACGCUGAGGAGCGAAAGCGUGGGGAGCGAACAGGAUUAGAUACCCUGGUAGUCCACGCCGUAAACGGUGGGCACUAGGUGUGGGCGACAUUCCACGUCGUCCGUGCCGCAGCUAACGCAUUAAGUGCCCCGCCUGGGGAGUACGGCCGCAAGGCUAAAACUCAAAGGA
rnacentral:rRNA from 1 species